CACGCCUGCGCUGAAAGAGUGGGCAGAAAGGAGCUGACCUGGCAGGACAUGGAGAGGAAAACAGUCACUCUCCCGUGGGGAGACCUGGCAGGCCUCACCUUGGCCGUGUGAUCAAGGUCCAGACCACCAGUGAUGAGGCAUGUUGACAUCGUGGCCCCUGAGAGCACGUGAUGAGAAGAGCGCUCCACCUCUGCCGUGUUCUUCCGCAAACGCACAGUUCCAGUGUAAUCAGAGAGAACAUCACACACACACCAAUUGAGGGGCAUCUUGCAGAAUACCUGAGCAGCACUCUGCAAAGCUGUCAAGGCAGUGAAACGAAGACAGGCCAGGAAAGGGUCACAGGUGCAGGGGACUAAGGAGGCGUGAGGGCCAGUGCAGCCUGGGGUCCUGGAC
rnacentral:lncRNA from 1 species